GUUAAUUUGAGUUCAGGAGGAAGUGGCCUGAGGUGAUGUGAUUAUCUGAUCUCAGAGCAGUGUGUGUGUGUGUGUGUGUGUGUGUGUGUGUGUGUGUGUAUGUGUGUGUGUGUGUGUAAUUCAGUCAGAGCUCACACCUGCCUGCUGAGGACACACACCUAGGACCAGACAGGAAACACGUAGAAAUCUCUUUAAUAAUCCACUUAACAUCUAAAAGGUCACAUGAGAGGCUUUAACUGUCUGUCUGUUUCUCUAUCUGUCUGUCUCUCUAUCUAUGUCUGUCUGUCUCUCUAUCUCUGUCUGUCUGUCUCUCUAUCUCUGUCUGUCUGUCUCUCUAUCUCUGUCUGUCUGUCUCUCUAUCUGUCUGUCUGUCUCUCUAUCUCUAUCUGUCUGUCUCUCUAUCUCUGUCUGUCUGUCUCUCUACCUCUAUCUGUCUGUCUCUCUAUCUCUGUCUGUCUGUCUCUCUAUCUCUGUCUGUCUGUCUCUCUAUCUCUGUCUGUCUGUCUCUCUACCUCUAUCUGUCUGUCUCUCUACCUCUAUCUGUCUGUCUCUCUAUCUAUGUCUGUCUGUUUCUCUAUCUCUGUCUGAUUAAAGCUGACUGUAUCAUCAUAUAUCAAUAUCAGGUUGUCCUGAUGUUGGUUGUUCUGGUGUGAUGGUGAAUAUGAGGUUGUCCUGAUGUUGGUUGUUCUGGUGUGAUGGUGAAUAUGAUGUUGUCCUGAUGUUGGAGGUUCUGGUGUGAUGGUGAAUAUGAUGUUGUCCUGAUGUUGGAGGUUCUGGUGUGAUGGUGAAUAUCAGGUUGUCCUCUCUGUGCUAAACUGCUGGAAAGAAGCACCAAUAAAUCUCUGACUGUCUGAGCUCGGAGCUGUCGUGUUUCAUCACACCGGCGACUCUGUGCAGAUGAUUUACAGAGGUUUGAGGUUGAUUGUAGACAAAUAGCUGUCGUGUCAGUCCCACACACCCCCCCCCCCGCACACAGACAGACGUCUGCCUCCUAAAAGCUAUGCUCAAGGUGCUUUUGUUUCAGCAUGCCAGAAUUAAUGAAGCUAUGUUUCAUUCCAGUGUGUCAGGUGUCAGUGUAAAGUGAGAUCCAGAAGAAUCCAGCUCUAAACCACAACUGUGUGUUCUGCCAUCGAGGAAUAUUAAAGGUGUAUUGUAGUGCAGAGUGCAGGCAUUGUGGGAGGUGUUUACAUGAGUACAUAAUCUGUAAUAAACCCUUUUUAACACUCAUGCUGUCUUCACUACUUAGUAAUAAAUAUUCCAGGCUACAGAUUUAGAUUAAAAACAGACAGUGUGUCUUUCUUCUGUCUGUGUUUCAGUUAGCAAUUUAAACUGUAUUGAUGGAACAGAGCCACAGAGGCCACGCCUCCUUCACUGAGACUGACAGACACAGAGGCCACGCCUCCUUCACUGAGACUGACAGACACAGGG
ensembl:lncRNA